rnacentral:lncRNA from 1 species
AUGUGAGAAGAAGCAAUCAGAAGAUUGGCAGGAUUUAGGAAUCUAUUUGAAAUAUUCAUUACCUAUUUUGAAUUGGUCUUAAAAAUUUAAAGAAAUAUAAAGCUGGAUAAUUAAAGAUAAAUAAUAAAGGAAGAAUACAAGGUUUCUAUGCUGUGAAGCAACUGAGAUUAUUAUGAUUUUGGGGCAGUGAAUUUGUUUCUAGAAGUUUUGUUGGAACUAAGGCAGAAAGGAAGAAGAACAAAUGACCUUGGAAUGAAAAACUUUAAGUUACUCCACCUAACCACUAUGAAUGAUAGUCUUGUCUCACCAACCCCAGCCCAUCAUCUGUUGGACUUGGAGCUCACACUUUAAAAAAGAAGAUCAUUCUAACUGCCCCUCAUGACUACUGAAGAGGCUAUGCCUGAAAAAGCAAAAUGUCCUACAUUAGAGAUCACCAAGCAAGACUUUUUUCAAGAAGCAAAAACUCUCAUUGCCCAACAUUAUGAGAAAAUAAAUGAGAAUAAAGUUCAAGGUACUUCUAUAAAUGUUUUUAGAAAGAAACACCAAAAACCGAAAUCUGGCAAAUACAUACCUUUGGAGAUUGACAAAAAGGUAACACGUGAUGUGGUGCAAGAACAUCGGGCCGCACUCAGAAGGAUUUGCUUUCCCAAGGAGCUUUCCAAAAGCGAGCAUCUUCAGGAACCCCCACAACGAAUCUCCUUCAAGGAACCACACAUUUUUAGUAGAAGAGAAAGAUGCAGGCCCAUAGAUCUAAUUACAAAAGGUAUGUAGUGAACCUGUUCCCUGCUCAUGUAUUCAAUUCCAAGUGUAUUCAGAUGACAAGUUAAAUUGGAUAAAAUCAUGACUAUUAUUGAACCAGUGAGUAAAAAAAUGGAGACAGCAAAGCAACAGCACUUUGAGGAGUCCAGAAACAGAAUGUUGGAAUUACUCUAUCCCUUUCCUGUCCAUCUUUACUUACAACCUGGGACCUCUAACUUGGAACUUCUGAAAGAACCUGACAAAGCAUUCUAUGACUGGAGAGGAUUUGUGCUGACAAGGUCUUUCCGUUUGGCUUGUGACUCCCGUCGAGUUAGUUUCUCUCAAUCAUCAUCAAUAUUUCGGGAUUAUUAUUCUAAAACCUUUAAAACCCUUAUUAAAAAGGAGCGACAACCUAUCAAGCCAGAACCAAAAUCACAACCCAGGAUAAAAGGUACUCCAAAUAAAACUGAUAAACUUGACAGUAAAGUUAAAAGAAUUGGACCACACAUAGAAAUCUUCCAAGUGUUCCGAGAAAGAAAAAAAUUCAUGAUUACCCCAAAAUUGAUUAGAAUGGUCACCGUCAUGCAGGCACAUGUCAGGGGAUGGCUUGAACGGAAAAGAUUGCAAAGAGUAAUGACCAAGGCUUUGGAUCAUGGACCAGAUAUGAAAGCAGUUAUUAACAUGUAUGGCAGACUAAUCCACCGUGUUAGAUAUCGACGUGGUCUUUGGAGGACAAGACAAAUUCUCAACUUAGCAGAGCUAGAGGAGUGGAUGGACCGAAAAAAAUUCUAUGAAAUAAUGUUUGCUAAGAGGGAAGAUUGGCCAAAAAUUGAAAGAAAUGAGCUCCCCAAUUUCUUCAGUGACUGUGGUCAUUUCCCAACUCAGAAACAAGUUGAUGAUACUUGGGACCUGGUCCAUCAAGACACACCCAGGAUCAAUAUUUUGCAUCCUUCAAUCCAAUCGAGUUGACACUCAGUAUUAACCAUCACAAGCUCCAAGAAGGUUAAGAGACAUUAACAGACUGAAAAACAACCUGCAGCGUAUAGCUGCCCAGCUAUGCCCAGCCUAGACCAGAUGAACCCCACCUGACUCACAUGAGCUAACUAAAUGUUUAUCAUUGAUAUGAUAAACACAUAUGAGAUGGCAAAGAAAAAUAUUCUGAACUAAUCAAAAAGUCCAAAGCAAUUGAAAUGUUAUUUACACUCUAUCCUCCUGAAGGUGCACAUGUGCCUGACAGUACACUACUCAAGUCGACUUGGUUGAGACCCAUAGUAAAUGGGGAAGAAGGUUAUAGAUAUAUAGUUUUCCACCUGAAAUUAUCAGAAGGUGACCUAUAUCUAUUUGUGUUUGUUGUUUAGAGUCUAUUUGCACUUUGUUAAAAUAAACAAAUUAAAAGGAAA